AGUGGCAAACCAACUCUGUAAGGAAGAAAACAGAGGCUUACGCUGGAGAUCAACAAGGUUGAAUGAGCUAAAGUACCUAAGAAGUAUAAUAAAACUCCUAGUUGUCCAAUUCUCCCCCAAACCAGUAACAGACACAUUACGGAAAUCAUAAAGAAAUUUCGUAAGUCUUAAAAACAAAUCUCUAAUUCCUUCAAUUGUGGAUCUCUUCCAGUCAUAACAAAGAUAGUAUAAACCAUUUCAUCGAUCACGUUCGUUCUAUUUCCAUUUUUU